rnacentral:rRNA from 1 species
GGCCGCGGGAAUUCGAUUCAGGCCUAACACAUGCAAGUCGAACGCUUUGUGGUUCAACUGAUUUGAAGAGCUUGCUCAGAUAUGACGAUGGACAUUGCAAAGAGUGGCGAACGGGUGAGUAACACGUGGGAAACCUACCUCUUAGCAGGGGAUAACAUUUGGAAACAGAUGCUAAUACCGUAUAACAAUAGCAACCGCAUGGUUGCUACUUAAAAGAUGGUUCUGCUAUCACUAAGAGAUGGUCCCGCGGUGCAUUAGUUAGUUGGUGAGGUAAUGGCUCACCAAGACGAUGAUGCAUAGCCGAGUUGAGAGACUGAUCGGCCACAAUGGGACUGAGACACGGCCCAUACUCCUACGGGAGGCAGCAGUAGGGAAUCUUCCACAAUGGGCGAAAGCCUGAUGGAGCAACGCCGCGUGUGUGAUGAAGGGUUUCGGCUCGUAAAAAAAAGGUUGUAAGAGAAGAAUGACAUUGAGAGUAACUGUUCAAUG